AUUUUUCACAACAGGAUCUGGAACCUCUAAAAAAAGUAGCCAAGAGGGUUGCUUCUUACCAAACUAAAGGCCAUUCCAGUCAAUAAUAUGAAUAUAUCUCUGAACAAGGUGAUUGGAAAUAACCUUAGUUGCACUUGGGACAGCAUGAGGAACUCAUCCGGGGAGAAGAUAAGCAUGCUGAAAAGAAGCCCUCUGAGUAUUCCCUAUACUGAUUAUGUGAAAAUGCUCAAUGAUCUAGCAAAAGAACAAGACUUCCGCCUCACCUAUC